rnacentral:rRNA from 1 species
AGUGAACGCUGGCGGUAGGCCUAACACAUGCAAGUCGAACGGCAGCACGGUAAGAGCUUGCUCUUACGGGUGGCGAGUGGCGGACGGGUGAGGAAUACAUCGGAAUCUACUUUUUCGUGGGGGAUAACGUAGGGAAACUUACGCUAAUACCGCAUACGACCAACGGGUGAAAGCAGGGGAUCUUCGGACCUUGCGCGAUUGAAUGAGCCGAUGUCGGAUUAGCUAGUUGGCGGGGUAAAGGCCCACCAAGGCGACGAUCCGUAGCUGGUCUGAGAGGAUGAUCAGCCACACUGGAACUGAGACACGGUCCAGACUCCUACGGGAGGCAGCAGUGGGGAAUAUUGGACAAUGGGCGCAAGCCUGAUCCAGCCAUACCGCGUGGGUGAAGAAGGCCUUCGGGUUGUAAAGCCCUUUUGUUGGGAAAGAAAAGCAGCAGGUUAAUACCCCGCUGUUCUGACGGUACCCAAAGAAUAAGCACCGGCUAACUUCGUG